GGAGGGGAGCAUGGCCACCCACUCAGCUAAACUAAGGCAUCUCUAAGUUUGGUAAGGUCCUAGGGUCGAUUCGCUGAAACCCAAACAUAGAGAACAAUAAUAUAGAAGUAUAUAUAUCAGUCUCCAAAAUCACAGCACUCUGCAGCAAAAUUGAAAGAGAAACCCUAAAUUUUCACUUUCCCGGGUUCUCCAAAAUUUCCCUCUCUGAGUUUCAAUUUCCCACCAUGGAAUCUCGCCAAAUUCACUUUAGAAUUCACCCUGUUCAUUUACUCAAACCCAGGUAUCAGAGCAGAUCGAUUCAUUCGAUCCCCAAAACAAACAGACCCAAGCCACCGCAGCUCUUCGCUCUCCCCCCAAGCCACCGCAGCUGCACCGCGACCGUGUCUCUACCUCAGACUCCCUCGAUCCCCAAAAAAAACAGACCCAAGCCACCGCAGCUCUUCGCUCGUCUUCGCUCUUCGCUCUCCCCCCAAGCCACCGCAGCUACACCGCGCCUCUGUUCCAAACCUCCACUGUGUCUCUACUUCAGACUCGCUCGAUCCCCAAAACAAACAGACUCAAGCCAUCGCAGCUCUUCGCUCGUCUUUGCUCUUCGCUCUCCCCCCAGGCCACCGCAGCUGCACCGCGCCUCUGUUCCAAGCCUCCACCGUGUCUCUACCUCAGACCCCCUCUGGUCCGCGCCUCUGCCUCUAAACGCCUCAGCUCUAUUUGAACAGUGCAAACUACUUAGUAGCAACAGAGAAAACCUCUCCGCCAAAGCUAAGUAAAGUUUAAGGUACAUUAAGGAAGGGUCAGCAAAUAGCAUUGAACAGACUUUCAAAACCUUCAAACCAAGGCCUUGAAGAGUUUCAAAACGAGGUUACACUUAUUGCAAUACAGCACCAUGUGAAUCUGGUUGGAGGGAAGAAAAGAUGCUGAUAUAUGAGUACACACCAAACAAAAGCUUGGAUCACUACGUCUUUGGUGGAGGUCUGUCAAUAUCUUGCAUCGGCUUUUGUUCUAGCCUGUAUUAACUUGCAAAAAUCCAGGAAGCACCCUGUAUCUUUCUUUUACAAUUUCAAUUCACCAAAGCAGAGUAGUUUAAUACUUGAAUGUGACUGCCUUGGCUCCUUCUCUCUUUGAUCCAGCAUGGUGAUGAUAACAAUUGCAGAAGUAGUGCUGCUUGCAUACUGUCAUGCAGAUUUAACUUUUCUCAAUCAUUUUCUUUUUAUAUAUCUGUGCAGGAUAGGAUGCGUAUGAAGACCAAUGUUGUGAUAAGGGUUCUCUCAUGCAAUGUAAUUCGGAAUCAAGAUUUCUAGUUGAAUACGGCUGCUGGUACCAUGUCUCCCUUUAAACAUGGUGAGUUUUUUGUUCUUGAUGAUGGUGGAGAGGUAAUUGUUCCUUGUCAUGUUUCUUCAAACUGUAUCAAAGGUAGUGGAUGAAGAUAUUGGAGAUGAUGAAACCAAGUUUUGUGCCUCUAUAGUCAUCUAAGAUCACAUAGGAUAUCAACAUGUAAUAAGGAAUUAUUUAGUUGGUUUUAAUUGUAGCUUAGUUAACUAUUGUCAUCUAGGAUUACAUAAGAUUAGAAGGUAUAGCUAGGAAUUAGUUACUAGAAUGUGCUUGUAGUCAAGUAUAUUGUAAUGAGUAAUAGAUACAAUGACAUUUGUUUUGGGAUUGUAAAGAUUAUUUGUAUGUAAAUGUCUUCUUUUUGUUUCAA